rnacentral:tRNA from 1 species
UAUAUUUUAGUGUAAGAUGCACAAUAGAUUUUGAUUCUAUUAGAUAUAAGUUUGAUUCUAUAAAAUAUAA